rnacentral:rRNA from 1 species
GAACGGUAGCACAGAGGAGCUUGCUCCUUGGGUGACGAGUGGCGGACGGGUGAGUAAUGUCUGGGAAACUGCCCGAUGGAGGGGGAUAACUACUGGAAACGGUAGCUAAUACCGCAUAACGUCUUCGGACCAAAGUGGGGGACCUUCGGGCCUCACACCAUCGGAUGUGCCCAGAUGGGAUUAGCUAGUAGGUGGGGUAAUGGCUCACCUAGGCGACGAUCCCUAGCUGGUCUGAGAGGAUGACCAGCCACACUGGAACUGAGACACGGUCCAGACUCCUACGGGAGGCAGCAGUGGGGAAUAUUGCACAAUGGGCGCAAGCCUGAUGCAGCCAUGCCGCGUGUAUGAAGAAGGCCUUCGGGUUGUAAAGUACUUUCAGCGGGGAGGAAGGCGAUGAGGUUAAUAGCUUCAUCGAUUGACGUUACCCGCAGAAGAAGCACCGGCUAACUCCGUG